UCUUCUGCCAUGUGAGGGCACAGCAAGAAGACCAUGCUCUAUAAAUCAGAAAAUGGGUCCUUACAGACCAAACUGGCUGGCACCUUUAUUGUGGACUUUCCAAUCUGUGGAAAUGUGAGAAAUAAGUGUUGUUUUUUAUAGACCAAAGUUAAGGCUGAAUUGAGAAGGCUCAGAAGACCCUGGCUAGAGUUUCGUCAAGUUUAAAAUGAUCGUCAACUCUGUAUACAUCAAAAUUGAGUUCAGUGCGUGCUGGACUGUUUUCUCUGUUUCAAUAGUAUAUGACUCAUUAAAAUAUGUUGUUACUACUUUUUCUUCAAUCAUAUUGGAUUAGGGACACUUUCUACUAGAGUAUGUUCUCAUCUUCAAUUAACUAAUUACAUCUGCAAUGGUCCUAUUUCCAAAUAAGGGUACAUUCUGAGAUAGUUGGGGGUAUGACUUCAAUAUAUGAGUCUGUGGGGAUACAAUUCUUACCAUAAUUUACAUGAUGUGUUAGGUAAAGAUAAACAGGCGUUUAGUGUGAAGUUUAUGUUUAUGUGUUAGGCUAUGUUUAUCGCUAGUUUUACCUCUGAU
rnacentral:lncRNA from 1 species